AGCUAAGUGAUUGAUGGAGCUUCCGGAAGUCUUGGCGGCUGUACCGGCGCUAAUGUUCCUCCUUUUCCUGAGGUGGAGUGGGCCCAAGCGGUUUUCUAAUCACAGAAUUACUGGAGCGUCAAGAAGCGCCUGCAUGCUUGGAAGGGCUUCCAGGCAGAUGAACACACCUCAGCACCGGGUGGCAGUUUCCCAGGGUGCAACCCGGACCGGCUCUGGGUCACACUGACAAGCCUCUCCGACUCCCCAGGCUGGGUUGGGUGCUCCUCCCUCUCAUCCCACAGCGCUAUGUCUCAUGUCUUCUGGAAAACUUGCCAAUCCCUAGUGAUAACAAGGAUUAACAAUUUCCAGAGACAGCCCGUACAUAGAGGGAAAGUUUACUGAAAAAAAUGAAGAGGGGUCAGGGCAAGGCGAGGAGCAAGAAGCAUCCCCAAGGAAACAGAGAAGACCAGUACAACUGUACCUCUUUGCCAGCUGCACCAUCCGUACCAGUCUCCUGGGGUGGGAGUGUACAGCUCAGAGACUGCCACACUGCAAGACGAAGGGGCUGGAUGGACGGAAGUAAGAGGCGGAACCCUGCACACCCUCGGCCUCAGCCCCACUGAGUCUCCAAUGGGGCCACGCUUCUGAGUGCACCUCCCCCUGUCAUCUGUAAUGUGAGGGGGAACCAGGCUUGAUAUGGCAUUCCCAAUCCAGGGC
rnacentral:antisense_RNA from 1 species